rnacentral:rRNA from 1 species
AGUGAACGCUGGCGGUAGGCCUAACACAUGCAAGUCGAACGGCAGCACAGUAAGAGCUUGCUCUUACGGGUGGCGCGUGGCGGACGGGUGAGGAAUACAUCGGAAUCUACUUUUUCGUGGGGGAUAACGUAGGGAAACUUACGCUAAUACCGCAUACGACCUACGGGUGAAAGCAGGGGAUCUUCGGACCUUGCGCGAUUGAAUGAGCCGAUGUCGGAUUAGCUAGUUGGCGGGGUAAAGGCCCACCAAGGCGACGAUCCGUAGCUGGUCUGAGAGGAUGAUCAGCCACACUGGAACUGAGACACGGUCCAGACUCCUACGGGAGGCAGCAGUGGGGAAUAUUGGACAAUGGGCGCAAGCCUGAUCCAGCCAUACCGCGUGGGUGAAGAAGGCCUUCGGGUUGUAAAGCCCUUUUGUUGGGAAAGAAAGGCAGCAGGUUAAUACCCCGCUGUUCUGACGGUACCCAAAGAAUAAGCACCGGCUAACUUCGUG